CCCAAGGUUGCCUAUCCCUGGCCUAGGGCAAUAAGUGCUGUAACUGUGAACAGGAAAUAUUGGUUUAUUCCCAAAACUAGACAAUUGUCAAGAUUAAAUGCAAAGUAUACCCAAAAUAAAUUUAUUUAAAUUAUUUUUAUUCUUUUCCGUUCUUCACAAUUUCCAGUUAGGAAAAAAAAACUUGUAUAGUUUUCCCAUGUCUAACAAUCAACAAUUAAUUAAGAGAAUAUUUUUGCUUUCUAUUGUACAUUAGCUUUCUUGGACCCAAGCGGCAACCAUAUAUGGUCACAUCUAGCAGUAUUAUCCAGAAAUUCUGAACAGAAAGGGUUUAUUGGUGAUGUAGUUUUUGUGAGUUUGUGGUAUAUUAUCAGAAUUGCAAUGAAAAGCUUCAGCAGCAUAAGGAUUGGGUAAGCUACUGCUUGGUGUGGUACGAGUCCAAU